AUGACCAAGACAGCCCAGUUCACGCCUCUCUUCAGAGCUCUGUACUGUGUUCUGCUACUCUCACAGCCGUUCUUCCUGGCCAUUGUAUACUUCUAUCUGUGUCCUACUCCUCCCCCUCCAUCCUAGCUGCGGCUAUUAAGGCCGCCCCUGUCAUCUCAUUGGCUCUCCUGGUGCUGAGCUACAAAGCGGAGACUGUUGCCUUAUAUGGCCCAGAGUCAUGUAAUGUUGUUGUCUCUCUAAUCCUCUCCUCAGGAAUGGCCUCCUUCGCCUUGGCCCACCUGCUCUACUCCCUCACCUUCCUCUCCACUCGUUACUCCUCCCCCAGCUCCUCCUCUUCACUGUCCUACUUCUUCUGCCUGCUCCUGUGGCUGCUGGGGGGAGGCCUCUACGCUUUCCUCUUCCCUUUCCUGCAGAAGACGCCGGAUGCUGCCGCCCUGACUCCCGGUGUCGGGGUGUACGUGGCUCUGAUCGUCCUGAUGGCUACGCUGGCGGUUCGCACCCGCCGACCGCUGAUCAUGCUGGGCAGUUUGAUCUUCAUGACCUCUGACCUGACGCUGGCGCUGCAGACCUUCAAAGUGACGGAGCACCUGGAGUACGGCAGGCACAUCGUCAUGACGACGUACUACCUGGCGCAGCUGCUGAUCGCCGUGGGUGACAUCAAGGCCGCGGAGGGCGGGGAUGAGUUUGCCAAAUGGAAGAAAUCUUAGUUAUGGGGUUAUGUCAGAUAGGGGCCAGGUCCCAAUUUUCCACCCUGCUCCCGAAGUGUACAAACAACUGUCCCCUUUCUCACAUGGACUUUACACUGGUGGAAACUCCCUCCAGCCAAUGCCUACUUAUACUACGCUCAUGCUUUUAAAUCAAUCACAGGGAGUGUUCAAGUGCACAAUUCUGGAAAAGGGUGAAGAAUCGGGACGUUGCCAUGGAAAGCAAACUUGGGACUACUGUUCUCUGACUAGUCGGCAGCUAUAGGAACUUCAGGCUGUUUGUUGAGACUAGACUGAGGAUGAGGCAGAAAGAAGUUGAAAAAGGAAGAUUCCCCCCCAAAGAAAAUCUUUAUUAAACUAAACCUCAGAGUAUCAGGACAGUCUGUCCGUUUGUUGAGAAAACUCAGGGAUGGGAAACAACCACUGCCAAAAUUCAGACAGCUAGAUGCAAGGACUGACAUGAGGUUGACAUGACAAUACUUUCCAUAGUCCAGAAUAAAGUUAGAAAUAUCAUUCUCCUUCACUAUGUCUGUGAAAACAGUCCUACGGUCUUAAAGACAUGAUUUGAGAUGUGAUGCACUUCCCUUGCUAGUUGUGAUUUAUCACACAUUCUGUAUAACGGUCUGUUGAUAUGAAGAGACGAUUCUCAGAAAUGAAGUCCAUUAUGAAAAAAUAAAAUGUUUAUUUAUUCAUGAUGAAAUGGGGAUGAAAAAUAAACAAAGUUGUGUUCCAUAUUUCAUGUUAUUUCAGACGUAAGAACUCUGCAAAAGUCACCCAUUAUGUUUAUAGACACAGACAAGACAGAAACAUCUCAACAAAACAUGGACAAAUGGUGGAUAUUCUGAAUGAAAGACAGUCAUUAAAGCAAAACACAAGAGGCCAACAGAAAUGCCUUAUGGGUAGUGAAACAUGAUCAAAAUGGAUUCUAAUAAAACAUCUGACUAAUGAAGCUGAAAGCUGCUAAAUGGGUAACACUUUAUUUUACAGCCUAAUUACCUGCUAUUUAUUCAGAAACACAAUAACUAUUUUAUGUAGUUUAACAGCGUAAAUUACUUAGUGUUACCCAAUAACUAGUUGUAUUUGUUAAAAUUAUUUACCAAGUGACAAGAGGAUACCAAUUAUUACCAAGUAACGUCACACUAUGCCAGAUAUAUAAAUGGUGACGGGGCUGUGAAAUCGCAUUACCACUAAAUGUGACAUCUGAUAUUUUAUGUGGAAUCUGAGGGAUUGUUGGGCCAGAAUCCAAGGCUCAAGGCUUCUCUAAUCUGUUCUCUUUAACAGCAACAGCAACAGGGGAGUACAUCACAAAGCAGGAUCAGAUAACCUGAAGAAAUGUUCAGAAAUGACUUACGGUGCUAUC